AGUGAACGCUGGCGGUAGGCCUAACACAUGCAAGUCGAACGGCAGCACAGUAAGAGCUUGCUCUUACGGGUGGCGAGUGGCGGACGGGUGAGGAAUACAUCGGAAUCUACUUUUUCGUGGGGGAUAACGUAGGGAAACUUACGCUAAUACCGCAUACGACCUACGGGUGAAAGCAGGGGAUCUUCGGACCUUUCGCGAUUGAAUGAGCCGAUGUCGGAUUAGCUAGUUGGCGUGGUAAAGGCCCACCAAGGCGACGAUCCGUAGCUGGUCUGAGAGGAUGAUCAGCCACACUGGAACUGAGACACGGUCCAGACUCCUACGGGAGGCAGCAGUGGGGAAUAUUGGACAAUGGGCGCAAGCCUGACCCAGCCAUACCGCGUGGGUGAAGAAGGCCUUCGGGUUGUAAAACCCUUUUGUUGGGAAAGAAAAGAAGCAGGUUAAUACCCCGCUGUUCUGACGGUACCCAAAGAAUAAGCACCGGCUAACUUCGUG
rnacentral:rRNA from 1 species